UUGAAUGGAGAGAAGCGUUCGUGUUCAAUGAAACGCCCGCAGGCUCUCCUUUAGAACGAGGAAGGGAUGAAAGGUUUUCUCCUCUUCUUUUCUUGUUUCUUUGUAACGUCA
rnacentral:snRNA from 1 species